rnacentral:lncRNA from 1 species
CACAGCAUCUUUUCUCUGAAGGGCUCUCUGAACUCUGCUGCCUGGGAAAGUCAAACCUCUGGUCAGAUCUGAGGGGGUUGAACAACCUCAUAUAAUUCCUACGUUUCUUUCCAUUUGCACAUUUAGAUUCCAUGGACCAGGAGGACUGAAAAGGUUUGGAGCUUUCCUAGACAAUUUAGAGGCACCUACAAAAGUAAGCUUUCCACAAUAGGAUAACAAAGGAUUUCGAUGGAACCAGCAAAGAAAGGCAGAGGCAAAAAGCCCCAAAGCACAGGAAAUAUAAUGAGGUGGCAGUAGGUGGUGAAGAUAGGGUGACAGAGAGAUAUUUCUGGCCCCAAAGUCUUCAGAUUAGACACCAGGAAGUAACCUGUCACAUGACCUCCAGGAACCUGAAGACUUGGAGGAUCGCUUUUCUGAGAAGACUUGCCCAGCAAAACACCUCGCCCACAGCCUCCUCUUGCCAGCUAGUCCUAAAGGAGCUCCCUGUCAGCAGAGCCGGAGCAUCUGCCUUGAUCCCCUGGCCCCACGCUCCAAAGUGAUUCAGAGAAGCCAGCAGUUUCUUUCAGUGCUCAGCUGGCAGCUGUCUCCUUUGAUAAAUACUCCUUUUGGGGGCAGGGGGGCUUUUUGUUUUUUCCUUCACCCUUAACAGAUUUUCCUUUAAAAAAAAACAUCGCCAAUGAAAUAGAAUGAAGCUUACUUCAUAGUUUGAACAUUGGUUAAGUCCACAGGAAUAUAAAAUACCAUUUCUCUUGCCUUUUGUCUCUUUCUUUCUUUUUUUAAAAAAGUAUUUGUUUAGGGUGCACUGCUAUUAGCUAGGUCUUUUUCUGGGUGUGGCUGAAAUUGCCUGAGGGAGGAGGUGUGGGUGGCGUAUGAGAGUCAGCGGAGGAGUCCUGCACUGAUGAGCAAGUAAAACGUGUGUGUGUGUGUGUGUGUGUGAGAGAGAGAGAGAGAGAGAGAGAAACACUGACUUAGGAAAUAUUAUUAUAUUUCCAGUUGUUCAAAGCAGAGCUGAUGAUUCCUUGAACAAUUUUAAAAUUUACUUUUUACCCUCUAUUUGAAAUUUCGCUGGAACAA